rnacentral:rRNA from 1 species
GAUGCAGCCAUGCCGCGUGUAUGGAAGAAGGCCUUCGGGUUGUAAAGUACUUUCAGCAGUGAGGAAGGUGGGUAUUGUUAAUAGCAUACUCAUUUCGACGUUAGCUGCAGAAGAAGCACCGGCUAACUCCGUGCCAGCAGCCGCGGUAAUACGGAGGGUGCGAGCGUUAAUCGGAAUUACUGGGCGUAAAGCGCAUGCAGGUGGUUGUUAAGUCAGAUGUGAAAGCCCGGGGCUCAACCUCGGAAUUGCAUUUGAAACUGGCAAACUAGAGUACUGUAGAGGGGGUAGAAUUUCAGGUGUAGCGGUGAAAUGCGUAGAGAUCUGAAGGAAUACCGGUGGCGAAGGCGGCCCCCUGGACAGAUACUGACACUCAGAUCGCGAAAGCGUGGGGAGCAAACAGGAUUAGAUACCCUGGUAG